rnacentral:rRNA from 1 species
GACGAACGCUGGCGGCGUGCUUAACACAUGCAAGUCGAACGGAAAGGCCCAGCUUGCUGGGUACUCGAGUGGCGAACGGGUGAGUAACACGUGGGUGAUCUGCCCUGGACUCUGGGAUAAGCCUGGGAAACUGGGUCUAAUACCGGAUAUGACCUUACAUCGCAUGGUGUUUGGUGGAAAGCUUUUGCGGUUCAGGAUGGGCCCGCGGCCUAUCAGCUUGUUGGUGGGGUAAUGGCCUACCAAGGCGACGACGGGUAGCCGACCUGAGAGGGUGAUCGGCCACACUGGGACUGAGGCACGGCCCAGACUCCUACGGGAGGCAGCAGUGGGGAAUAUUGCACAAUGGGCGCAAGCCUGAUGCAGCGACGCCGCGUGAGGGAUGACGGCCUUCGGGUUGUAAACCUCUUUCACCAGGGACGAAGCGUGAGUGACGGUACCUGGAGAAGAAGCACCGGCCAACUACGUG